rnacentral:rRNA from 1 species
UGCGUAGGCGGACUAAUAAGUCAGUGGUGAAAUCUUUCGGCUCAACCGGGAAACUGCCAUUGCUACUGUUAGUCUUGAGUUCGGUUGAGGUAGGCGGAAUGUGUAAUGUAACGGUGAAAUGCUUAGCUAUUACACAGAACACCAAUUGCGUAGGCAGCUUACUAGACCGAGACUGACGCUGAGGCACGAAAGCGUGGGGAGCGAACAGGAUUAGAUACCCUGGUAGUCC